rnacentral:rRNA from 1 species
GUGAACGCUGGCGGUAGGCCUAACACAUGCAAGUCGCACGGCAGCACAGUAAGAGCUUGCUCUUACGGGUGGCGAGUGGCGGACGGGUGAGGAAUACAUCGGAAUCUACUUUUUCGUGGGGGAUAACGUAGGGAAACUUACGCUAAUACCGCAUACGACCUACGGGUGAAAGCAGGGGAUCUUCGGACCUUGCGCGAUUGAAUGAGCCGAUGUCGGAUUAGCUAGUUGGCGGGGUAAAGGCCCACCAAGGCGACGAUCCGUAGCUGGUCUGAGAGGAUGAUCAGCCACACUGGAACUGAGACACGGUCCAGACUCCUACGGGAGGCAGCAGUGGGGAAUAUUGGACAAUGGGCGCAAGCCUGAUCCAGCCAUACCGCGUGGGUGAAGAAGGCCUUCGGGUUGUAAAGCCCUUUUGUUGGGAAAGAAAAGCAGCAGGUUAAUACCCCGCUGUUCUGACGGUACCCAAAGAAUAAGCACCGGCUAACUCCGUG